GCUUUUGGUUCAAUGGUAGAAUGCUCGCCUGCCACGCGGGCGCCCCGGGUUCUAUUCCCGGCCGAACCA
rnacentral:tRNA from 1 species